CCUACGGGUGGCAGCAGUGAGGAAUAUUGGUCAAUGGGCGAGAGCCUGAACCAGCCAAGUCGCGUGAGGGAUGACGGUCCUAUGGAUUGUAAACCUCUUUUGUCGGGGAACAAAGGCGUCCACGUGUGGACUGAUGAGUGUACCCGAAGAAACAGCAUCGGCUAACUCCGUGCCAGCAGCCGCGGUAAUACGGAGGAUGCGAGCGUUAUCCGGAUUUAUUGGGUUUAAAGGGUGCGGAGGCGGUCUGUUAAGUCAGCGGUAAAAUUGCGGGGCUCAACCCCGUCGAGCCGUUGAAACUGGCUGACGUGAGUUGGCGAGAAGUACGCGGAAUGCGCGGUGUAGCGGUGAAAUGCAUAGAUAUCGCGCAGAACUCCGAUUGCGAAGGCAGCGUACCGGCGCCAGACUGACGCUGAGGCACGAAAGCGUGGGGAUCGAACAGGAUUAGAUACCCCAGUAGUC
rnacentral:rRNA from 1 species